GAGAGAAGAGACCAGCAAAGAAAUAUCGGGAGGCCACCAGCCAAACCCUAUCCUCUUCCCCUCGCAGCCGCCUCUCGCCUUCUCUCCUCCCCUCACGCCUCCAUGGCCGCCGCCGGGCGUCCUCACGCCUCCAGCCGCGCCCUCCCCUGCGCCUCUCCGCCGCCGGUCUCCUUUCCGAUCCCGCACGUCUCCUCUCUCCAAUCGCCGCCGGCUCACCCAUCCCUGCUCCUCUCCAUCGCGCUUGGCUCCGUCGAGGCCGCCGCUACUCCUCCUCUCCACCCUCUUCUUCGCGCGACCUCCGACGCAUCUCACUCCUUCCCCGGCUUGUCUUCGUCGUCGAUCUCCAUGUCUUCGACCCCGAGCAAGUCCGAGAAACCGCCACGGAUCACCAAGGAGGAAUGCAUCCUCGUGUUCUCCGGCGCCGAUGCCGCUGGGAGGGCCCCUCGAUGCCAGCAAAGAUGGGGAAGUCGCCCUGCUAGGAGGGGCUUAGCCAUGGCGAGCGCACCGACCUCAGCGGCGCGAUAAACAUACAGGUUGAAGAACACAAAGUAGAGUUUCCUCGAUUUCUACUUACUGCAUCAGCCAUGAAAGAGGAUGCUUCACCUCCUCUCCCUCCUCAUGGCUCUGCAGCUGGAACCUGGACUGGUGCCAAUCUUCGCAUAGGCUCCAAGGGGAUCCCAAUCUUUGGACCUUUCCUAUCAAUUUCUACAUUUCUCUCUUGCAGCUGGUCACUCAUUAGCUGUGAAAAUUUUCAUGUCGUCUAACAGUCAUGCUUGAUGGAUUCAAAAAUUGAGCUCAGUUCUAACUAUGAAAGAGUUAUCAGAUCUCCAAGAAGUGACGAAUGGUAAAAAUUGGUCACUCAAUAUUUACCAGAUAUUGUUAGAAGAUCAAGCUGGAUAUUACUAGACUUCUAUUUUGGAAUUUUAGAUCUGUCCCAGAUGACAAUGGUUUAAUCAACUUGUGCACAUUUUGUGGUUCAUCAUGCCAUGGUUUCUAUCAUUUUGUAAGUUCCCUAUUGCAUGGGCAUUUCUUCAGGGAUGGUACAAAUGGCUAUAUUCAUGCAGUUCUUAUAUUACUGAGAUGCUUUGCAACAUAAAUUGGUCAUAUCAAAUAAUAUCUCCUACAAAACAUACGCUUUUUUACUAUGCUUUCUUCUACCAAGGAAACACUUGCGUAACAACUCAACUCAUGGUGAUUUUGCCUCUUGAAAAUCAUCUGCUCAAAGCUUGGCAAACAGUCAUAGCUGCAGCCGAUAGUCAGCACCAGGACGGCGGAACGACAAGCAAGCGCACCUCAACGAGCGUCAGUCACAUCCCUUGCCAUCACCACCGAAGAGAUGGAGAUGAAGACAACCAGCCAAGGCAUGAAACACACACUGAUUUCUAGACACCUUCAGUUAUUUCAGAUCUGGAUUGUUUUUAGUGAUGACCAAAUUCCACAAAUCAAAUCUGGAUUGUUUUUAGUGAUGCCCUUAUUCCACAAAUGAAGUAUGUUCCUCUGAUCCCCAAGUUUAUCAUUUUAACCUUCUCCUUAUUUAUCGCGAUGUCCCCUUAUUUUGUAAAGUACACUGUUGUAUGUUUGUCAGCCCGUGUUGUUGCAUUAGUUGAAUUUUACCAUAGUGGAUUAUGUUUCUCCAUCAAAAGGAUUAUAUAUUUUCCUCAGCUGGGUAUUAGUUCUGCUAUCCCUACUGUUCUGAAUCUUGAUUUCUGUAUAUUGUUAUCUACCUAUGUUCUGGGUAUUAGCAUCAAAUGUGUCGGUUCUGCUGCCAGUAGCAGCAGGUGAGCAUCAGGUGGGUCACUAGCGUUACUUGUUUGGUCGGAGAUGCCAUGGGGGAGAUGGCAGGGGCACGAGGAGGAGGGGUGAGUGGUCAUGGCCAGCAUUCGUCCACUGUCAGAGCAGGCGAAGGUGGAGCAAGGGUGGAGGUUGCAACAGUGCCUCAAGGAAACUCUAAAUGUAUUUGCUCACAAAAUAAUUCCUUUCUAUGUGAGUUGGAGGGCAGAUGUUUAUGCAUAACCUGGAAUAAUACCUAUUGCAGGCUAUUAUGUGUCAUCGACCUUCUCAUGCCCACCAUAAUAGAAAGUUUGACGUUAUCGUAUAAACACAAGUUCCUCCAUGUUGGAAGUAGCUUCAGGAAGGAUAACAUGUUUGCUGCUAAUUUUUCCCAUCUUUUGUACAUUGCUGGUCUGCUGCAACUUUAAUCAUUAUUUGGGUGCAUUCCAGGUUUGCUAGAGCUUCUUCAACGGUUAAAGGAAAAGCAGAAAGUUCAUGCCUUCUAAACUUGGUUCACAAAGAAUAGCAGGUUUGCUACCAAAUAUCAGAAAAUAAUUAACCUCUUCUUGAAUUACCAUCCGUAGAGGUAUUACCUGAAACCAGGGUAUUCAGAGAACACGUUAUAUAUUUGUGGACCAGUGUUCUGGUGAUACAAGGUAAAGGUAUUUUUCAGUAAUCCUUUCAGAGUAGCUAUUAUGCUUUUCUAAAAAGAUGCGAACAUCUAAAGCAUCUGUGUUUUAUAUAUUUCUUAGUUGCAAUCAUGCAUCAUCGUAUUUCAUUACCAUAGUAAUCAGGUUGUUGUUAAAUUUUUGUUACAUAAAUAUAUGGUAUAUAUACGGCCUAGCGCUCGCAGAUUUAUAAAUACAGAAUCUUUUUGUCGUGUUCAUGCUCUCAUCUUCUUCCAAGUUUGCCUGAAAAAUAGUCUCUGGUACCCAAUCUUGCCAAGAAGGUUUCAUAGAGGUGAGGUAUUUGACCUAAAGAUCUGAUUAUAUAUUUUUAUACGGUCCCCAGCGAGUAGCAAUGCAAGUUUUGUGAUUGCAUUUUUUCUAUAUUCCUAUGGAGUUAUACUUUAGUGGUGUCUGGCAGGGGCAAGCUGGAGCAUGUCUAUUCCUCUCCGACAGAAGGCAGCAUGCCUCCAAAGGGAAGACAACUUAUCUAAAUAAAAUAAUAUGAAGUCAACUUGGCAAAUAGGCAUAUAUUCUAUUUUAUGACUCCUUUCUCAUUAUCUUUCUAAUUGGUUUUUAACUGAUCUACUCUCCUCUUCUUUAACUGAUCUAGACCUCUGGCUUAUAGAUCACGAAAUAGCUUGAUAAAUUUGUGUUCUAUGUCCUCUUGCAUGAACUUCUUGUUUAUAUCCAAAGACUUAAUUUAUUCAUGUUUGUUGGCAUGUGCAUGCACUCUUCUUGCAGUUUCAGGUCCGCCUUGCAUAUGGGGUUAAUAUUGUGUGAUCUUUGACGCUUUCCGUAUCCUCUGCCAUCAUGCCAACUGACAAGGUCUCGAGCGUCUGACAAGAGGGAGAGGAGGAGCACAGCCGCGUUCUAGCUCGACGAUGAGAAAGCUCGAGGAUAAUAGAAGAUGAGCUUGUGUGCGCUGGACUCGCAGCUCUAUGUUCUUCCAUUUAGUUAUGAAUUCGUCUUCCUAAUGCCUUGAUUUUAUAUAUGGAGCAAGAGCAGCUUGCUGCUUUAGGUUCUGGUAGAAACAUCCAGUGAUAUUGUACUACUGCCAUAUAUAGAUGUAGUCUUUCUAUGCAUACUCGCAAAUUGGCCAUGCUAGGGGACAUCUCAACUCAGCCAAAUAGAAGAUGAUAGAUACGUACUUUGGCCCAAUUUUGUUUCAGAAUGGAUCUCUAUGAGAUCAGGACAGAGAUGACUCAACUGAAGAAAAUGGGAGAGUUGCUGGAAAUCUUAUAGAUCUGAAAGGUAAUAAUGCAUUUAAUUUUGGAAUGUAGUUAUGGAUUGGGGAAAGAUCUGCAUCUUAAUAGUACUAUUGAGUACUUGUAUGUGUGGUGGGCUGGUGGCCUUGUUGCUCUUAUCCAUGUGCUUUAUUGCUACUUAUUUUUUAUGUUUGAUAUGCAUAAAUUUUGUAUUCCAUUUAUAUUAGCUUCUGGUGGAUUCAGAUGUCUAAUGUAUCGAUAGAAUAUAUAUAUCAGCAUACCCUGACCGUCAGCACAUAUUUUGUUUUCCAUUUCUACUAGCUUCCGUGGUGUAAUUUCGAUUUUUGUGCUUCUGCAAAUUUGAUCACAUGUAUGUGAGGAAAAUUCCCUGAGUGGGACCUCCAUACUACUUUCAUCUUUCCUUUCCACCCUCCUCUUCCUUGCAUACCCUUGUUUUCAUAAACGAUUCAGAUCCAUAUUUUUUAGCAAGUGUAUCUAUUUGUUCCUUGCUAGGAAAAUGCAUAGGAGAAAUUAGGGUGGUAGGAAUCAUUAAUCAUGUAAUAUAUGUCUCAAUUAAACCCAAUCCUUAAAAUGAAUCAUAUGAAAUAAAACUUAUAGCAACUGCUCAAAAGGUCUCGGUCAAUGUUCAUUCCUAACAUUAUCCAUUGGUCAAGAGCAAACUGUGUCAUAUAUCACCAACAAUUGUGUGUUUAAACAUAUAUUUGUGAUAUUGCUGGAUAAAAAAGAUAGUGGAUGCUCAGCUGAUCAAUUGUAGGUACCAUGCAAGGACAUAAUAUAGAAGAUUGGCUAAAAUGUAGCGUGAAUACUCAAGAGCUACUAUAAUCUAUGCCUCAAUGUUGUGGCGUAUGAUGCAUGAACCUUCUAACUGAGCUUGCCUUCUUCUGCUACUGCAGUUUCUCCUUGGUGACCAUUUUCUUCCAUAUAGUAUAGUCGAAGUUCUCCAAUGAUGAGACAAUUUCAGGGGUGUGAAAGAUAUUAAGAACUCAUCCGUGUCAAGAUCUUUGUUUCGGGGUUCGCCUCCUCAGGUUGAAUCUGGAGAGGUAAUUAUUUACAUACUAGUGAGGAUCCGGUGGAACCAGUGGCAUCAUCUACCACAACUUCAACAGAUAAGAAGUAGCUUCUAUUCUGAAUCUGACUUGCAGAAAGCCCAUGCAGAUGGACAGACCAACAAGAAAACAUAUACUAGAAUUAGGCAUCAAAACUGAAAAGCUCUUAAAUCUUUUUACGUGCUGGCUUCGGAUAUUGUUGCAUAUUUCGGUAAGGGGUAGAUAGUAAAGAAAAUGUAGCAUCUUCUUUGACUAUAGCAAGAAAAUGCAAGAAGUGGAUGAUAAACAUGUGUUGGUGAUAUCAGGUAGAAAAAAAACUAUCUCAUUGUUGUUUGUUUGCCCUAUCUUCAACUUAGUUUUUGGCUGAUUCCUUCUUCCCUUUUCCACGAUUCCCAGCUUUUGGUGAUAUAAGUUGCAAGUAUCUGUUCUUCCUAUGUCUUUUGCGGGACCUGGACUAUGAAGAUCGUGUUGCUCCCUUCUGUAGUUGGCUGAUGCUGUUGUGCACCUCAUGUGGAUGCCACUUCUAUUGCUUCUUCAUGCUUGAUGUAGGUGUGUUACUUUCGCUUUGUCAUGUUAAUGGUAGUGUGGUUAAUUAUGUGUGGCUCUAGACUACCCCGCUUUCACCAGGAAACUGACAUUUGUAGACUCUUGGGUGAGU